rnacentral:rRNA from 1 species
UACGAAGGGUGCAAACGUUGUUCGGAAUUACUGGGCGUAAAGGGCGCGUAGGCGGCUGCUCAAGUCGGGUGUGAAAGCCCCGGGCUCAACCUGGGAACCGCGCUUGAGACUGGAGGACUAGAGUUCGGGAGAGGAUGGUGGAAUUCCCAGUGUAGAGGUGAAAUUCGUAGAUAUUCGGAAGAACACCAGUGGCGAAGGCGGCUCACUGGUCCGGUACUGACGCUGAGGUGCGAAAGCGUGGGGAGCAAACAGG